UUCAGUCUGGGAGCCACCUGUAGCAGGCAGCGAGUGUACCACGAAGGGUACAGCGUCUCUAUCAGCACCGUUAUACUCACCGUUACACCGGCUAGACUUCUGGACACGGGACCUCAGAACCGUCCGGUUCUCCUCGGUCGAGCCGUUUUACAACCGAAGGCUUGAAAGAUGUUUUUCAGUUAUCUGCAUGUCGUGUGUCUCCUGGGCGCUGUCGUUAAAGGACUGACAACAGAUCCCUUCACACUAAAUUCAUCUUCAAUCAUCAGUACCAAUGAGACAACCUCCCAGAUUAGCACCGAGUCCAGGACCACCAGAGCAGCAGUUAUUGGGAACAGUAACUUUACCCACCCAACUGACUCUCCAUCAGGUCCAACCAGCGGUACAAAAAUGUCCACCGCAAGCGCAGAGACAACUCAUCCCACCAACACCAGUGAGACUACAAAUACAACCAUUACACCUGCUCCAGAUCGCACACUGACUACAAGUACACCGACCCCACACACCAGCAACGACACAACUACUAUUACACCGACCCCACACACCAGCAACAACACAACUACUAUUACACCGACCCCACACACCAGCAACGACACAACUACUAUUACACCGACCCCACACACCAGCAACGACACAACUACUAUUACACCGACCCCACACACCAGCAACGACACAACUACUAUUACACCGACAUCCUCCAUUAUAGCCACGACACAGUCAAGUAACAUCACAACAACUGCCGCUACCACACAAACCAGCAACGGCACAGCAAGUACAAGUACAGUAACUCCAGGAAUCUCUACAGCUGUACUAACUUCAACUACACUAACAAACUCUACUAACACCUCUACUGAGAAUCCCAAAUCCACCACCACACCCUCAUCCUCAACUAUCACCACAAAUGCAACACUCACCUCCCCUGGACACCCACCCUCUUCACCUACCUCCAUCUCUACCUCCAGCACUCUUCCCGCAAACACCUCCUCAGGAAGUAGCACCGCACCCCCCAGUGGAAAUAACACCACCCUUAGUCCCUCAACAACAACCACAGGAGUGACCCGUCACACCACUUUGACUCAAUCACCUGAACCAACUAGUGGCAAUACAACAGCGUCAACCACCACCACUCCAGUCUCCACCACCCCCACUCCCACCAUAAGUACUGGUACCAACAUCACUGGCACCACCCGACGACCAACAGACAUGACCACCAACAACUCCACUACAGCUGCCCCAACCCUCCCUCCAUUCAUAGUGUGCCCUGCCGCCUCAUGCCCACUUGAAAGCAUAUGUCUUAAUGGUACUUGCCAGUGUCUGUCUGGUAGCUUCCUGGUAAAAGGCAACUGUGUACCUGCUCAAGUGUUCCCAGGCCAGCUUCAUAUCACUUCCCUGACAUUUGAUAAUGAAAUGAGCAACAGGUCCUCAGCAAUAUUCCAACGGACUGCAGCUGAGAUCUCAGCAGCGCUCAAAGAUGCCCUCAAAAAUCAUAUGGGAUAUCAACAAUCUGAUGUUGUGCAACUUGAACCUGGGAGUGUGCAAGCAACCGUAAAUAACAUAUUUGAAAAGACCAAUGCCACUCAAGAUUCUGUUGAUCAGGCCAUUAAGCAAGCUAUAGCAGCCGCACCAGCAGGUGGAUUCUUGACUAAUGCUACAUUUACAGCUACAAACCUCUGUGAGCAGAAACAAUUAUCACCCUGUGAUAUCUCCACUACAACAUGCACAAAUACAAAUGGCCGGGCUGAUUGUUCCUGUAAAAAAGGCUACAUCUCCAAUGAUUACACCCACAAAAUCUGCACAGCGUGUGAAAGUGGGUGGAGGGCAGUGGGAAACACGUGUCAACCAUGUGCAUUCGGAUACGCUGGUUUCAACUGCAAUGAUUCCGCUCUGCUGGCAGUGGUGGUCAUCUCCUGUGUACUGGGAGGAGUUCUUCUCAUCAUUGUCCUGGCUUUGCUCAUAUUUUUUUGCUGGCGGAGAUGUUCAAAGAGCAAGGAGGACUACAACAGCAGUCCAUACUCAUCAGGUGACAUAAACCAGCCCUGGCCCACUGGCAUCACCCCUAUCCCCCGUGCCACCUCUAACAGUUAUGAAGCUCCUCCCAUAGAAAUGGCAGAAGGGGGCAACAAUCGCGUCCCGGUGGACAAAUAUCAAACCAACGGAUUGGUGAGUUAUCCCACAUUGUCUCUGUCGUCUGAAUUACCUACCACUAAUCCUCAGACUCACCGUCUUGCAUAGUGUUGAUCAUCCACCAACUCCGCCUUUAGUUUGUGCAAUGUUGCCCCACCAUCUUGCAUCUAGAUUGCAUCUGCUUAUUAACUUGAAAUCCAGCCAGUGGACAUGGAUUUGAUUGUUUACAGUUGAAAAACACAUCUAGGUCUAGGAUAAAUCUGGCUCUAGUGUUCUGGCUGUGUUAAAUUAGGUUGAAAACUGAAACUGUUGUUUCAAAAUCAUUUUAAUGACUACAUUUCAAUGUGUGUUUGGGACCUGCCAUACAUUAAAACACAGUCUUUUACAUGUCUUUUAAAGUUCCUAAAUUUGAAAGUUAGCUUAGUUUUUAACCAUAGCCACCUUGAUGUGAUUUGACCUGCAAGUCAACAAAUCCAUGCUCACUGGGCACAGGUCUUGUAUUGAUUCAGAGACAGAUUAGAUGAUUUGAUGAUGUGUUUUCAAUCCUGCACACACCAGUAUGUUUAUCCCAAUCAACCAGAAUGUAUAUUUAGUGCUAGCAUACGUCCAUCCCAAGCACCCUGCUUUGCCUGACUCCCAGUGUGUUGCUUUAGGGGUUUAAGAAGAAGCUCAAAGGAUGGAAAAAGUCUGGAUCAUACGAUCUCAACCCAGAUACAAUGCACACCUUCAAAGGUAAAAAUCCGUCCCGGUACUCCUAUCUGGUCCAAGGCCACGAGAACCCCUACUUCUUACAAGGAGAGGACAAGAGGAACUGAUGAAGUCCAGGUAGAAAUGAGGAACAUGGGAU